rnacentral:rRNA from 1 species
UGCAACUCGACUGCACGAAGCUGGAUCGCUAGUAAUCGCGGAUCAGCACGCCGCGGUGAAUACGUUCCCGGGCCUUGUACACACCGCCCGUCACACCAUGGAAGUCUGCAAUGCCCGAAGCCGGUGGCCUAACCACUUAUGUGGAAGGAGCCGUCUAAGGCAGGGCAGAUGACUGGGGUGAAGUCGUAACAAGGUACC